rnacentral:lncRNA from 1 species
UGAAAUAUUUCUCUAAAACUUUAUUCAAAGUUAUUCACCUCACUGUUGAUAAGGUGUACAGUUAAUGCUCUGACAAUUUCACCAGGCUUUUGCCCAUUGCCGGCAAUGGACUUUGAGAAACCCAUUUCCUGACACCCAAAAGUUAAAUUAACUCUUUUCAAAACAUACCAAACUCCCAAUACUUGUGAAAGUCUUACAUGCACCAUUUUCCCAUUAAUCUUUAAAUGUGAACUUACAUUAUUAAUCUACAUCAGUAGAUGUUAAAAUGAAGUCAUUUUAACAAAUUAUGACUGUACAAAUCAAAAUACCACUAGUUAAUAUUAGACAAGAGUAUUUUACAAACACUACAUUACAUAUUACCUUGCAAUCUGAAACAUUACAGUUCAUAUUUGUGUAAGUUUAUCUGAGAUAACUGAAACUUCACAGAAUUUAACAGCAAAUAAAGUUUAAAAAAUUGAGUUCUGUACAUUAGUUCCAACUAUCUCUAUGUUACAAUCUAUAAGGCUCAUGUCAUAUUCAGCACCAAGAAGAUCUACAAAACGAUCUAACCAGUCUUCUUAUUCAUUCUAUGUGAUAGUUUUUGUUGGUUUUUUAAGGUGAAAGUCUAAAAAAAUGCUUUAUAAAUCCUACUUCCAGAACUUGAAAUGGGAUACUCUUUUUGGCUGGUCAUACUAUAUAAAAACGUGGGUUGCAGUUUUUUGGGUUUUUUUUGUUUUUUUCAUUGAAAAGAUACCCAAAAAAGAAAAAAAAAAAAAGAAAAAAAAAAGGAAUACUUACACCAUGAAUUUAGGCUGUCAGUCUUUAAGUUGAAUUCGUAACACUGAAGCAUCAGAAGUAACCUAAUAAUGCCCUGCCUCAUCCUUCCAUCUUGUUUUAAAAGUUUUAAAGGCAGCCAGAAAGAUGUUUUACUUAUUCUUCAAAAUAAGGUGCAAAGAAGGAUCCCAACACUUCCUCAUACACAGCUCCACCGACAUCUCAGUGUUGUUCAGCAUAAUCCACCUUGAGCCAACGAUCCAGAAGCAGACCCAGAGGUACAGCCACAGCUCCCAGUGCAGCACGCUGUCUAUGCCAAACGUCCACUCAACGCUAGCAUCUCUCUGUUCACAGAGGUCAUUGCAAUAACUCAUCCCUGCUGGCCUGGAUUUAAAGCAACAUUCCGGUUUCCAGAACCAGUGCCAUAUCAUCCCAACUCUUCUCCCUCUUCAGGAUUUAUAAAUUAUAGAAAAAGAGCAGGUUUGUCUUGCCAUUUUUAAACAGGGUUUGUGCAUAUCACAUUUUAAGACCAUACGCCCUGAACUAGAAACUUUUUUCAAAAACCACAGGUACUUUCAGUAAGCUUGUUUGUUCAAAGUACAAAAUUCUUAUGUGUUUAAAAAAAUUAAAAUCGGAGACCAGUACCUCUGCUUUCUUCGCCCAAAGCGCACAAUUCGUCAUACCACAUUUAAAAA